AAAAAGAGAAACCGUGCAUAAAUUCUACUUGUGAAAUCUACUAGGAUUUGGAUGGAAUUCGUCAGCAAACAACUGGGAUAUUCUUUAGCAACAGCCAGUUCAUACACAACUGGAGAGGAAGACGCAGGGAUUUAUUCAACCAUCGACUCCAUGAAACCCCCCUCACAACCACCAGGAAACAGUCAAGAAUCAAUGCCAAUUAAGGUUGAACUGAAUCAAUUGUAUGCCUCCAUCCUCAAAAACGGCCGUUUCAAGUGACAACAGCAGAGUUUACAGUCACCUGACGGUCCGCUGAAAGAAUAAGAUUCUGCCUGCUACUGUUUUAAUGCAGGCUAGAGAUGAUCAAUCUUCAUUUUAAACAGGAUUUAUUUCUCUAUAGCAAAUGCCUUUUAUUGUAAAUGUUAUUGUAACUUCUGCUUCUUAAUUUUAUUAUCUUAACCUUUCAAAACUGUGACAAUCAUCUGUCUGAUUUCAGUUUACUUGUAUUUUUGGCAGUUUCAAGCGUAUAGUAUAACCACAUCAAAAGGCACACAGCAUUAAUAUGCAUAUCAUUAAGUAAUAAUAAUUACAUAACAAUUUUGUACAGUGUUAUUGUGAAUAGCAGUUUUAUUGAUGAACAUAGGGACACUUAUAUUUUGUCCUGUUGCUUUGUGUGAAUAUUUUACCUGAUGUUCAUUAUUUAAAGCACCUCUUUUUUCUCUCUCUUCUUGUACCUUUUGCAAUUUUUCUCUCUUCAUAUUUCUCUUCAUAUUUUAAUAUUCUUUUUGCUGUUAAUAUUUGAAAAUUUUACUUGUUUUGUAUUCGUGAUCAAAUAAAUGCAACCUCUGUGAGCAAGAGAGACUUCUUCCAAAAAACAUUAAAACAUCUUUCCAAGCCCAAUCUUCUGAAUGGUGGUGUUCUGUAAGAAAUUAUUUAAUUUAAUUUUAUAUUUAAUUUUAAUAACUUUUAUUACCUUAUUUUAUAUCACAAUUUUAAAGUAAAAAAAUAGACUAA